UACGAAGGGGGCUAGCGUUGCUCGGAAUUACUGGGCGUAAAGGGCGCGUAGGCGGCGGUCUCAGUCAGGCGUGAAAGCCCCGGGCUCAACCUGGGAAUUGCGCUUGAGACGGGAUUGCUUGAGGACGGGAGAGGGUGGUGGAAUUCCCAGUGUAGAGGUGAAAUUCGUAGAUAUUGGGAAGAACACCGGUGGCGAAGGCGGCCACCUGGCCCGUUUCUGACGCUGAGGCGCGAAAGCGUGGGGAGCAAACAGG
rnacentral:rRNA from 1 species